ACUGGGUCCCUUUAAAUAUUAAUUCGUUUAUUUUUUUAAUUUUUAACUAUGUGUGUGCAGGGCAGUGUCAUAUUCUUCCUAUGUUGACAGGCCAAAAGUGGUGGCAGCCCUUGGGCGCUGUUGGGACCAGAAUCCCAGUGCCCUUAUUUUCUUUCCCUUGUUCUACAGGAGUAAGAGUCACAAUAAUGUUUUGAUAAAACAAGAAGGCAAAGAACAAAUAGGUCUUGAUAAAUGAAGUUGUGUAAACACACACUAAUUCUGUGAAAACAUUAUCCUACCUAAAA